CCCCGAGGCCCCCGAGCCCGCGCCCCGCGCGCCCCCCGACGGCCCCUGGGCCCCGCGCGAGCACGAGCGGCCGUGGGCGGCGCUGCUGCGCGUGGCCAGCGCGGAGCUCGGCGCCGACGGGGCGUGCCCGCCGCUGCCCGGCCGGGGGUCGUGCGCGGCCCCGGGCCCCCCCUCGCCCCCGCAGGAGUGCGCGGGCGCCCCCGAGGUGUUCUCCGUGGGACGCGAGACCUUCACAUGGCCGCCCCUCCCGCCCCGCCGCCCCGCCGAGCUGCCCACGCUGCCCGGCCGACCUCCCCCCCGCGCUGGCCCAGCUGGACACUGACGGCCACCUGGCCCAGUGCCUGGCAGGAAGUACCGAGGCCAAGAUGUGAGGGCAGGCCUGCUUGCCCUGGCCCCGCUGUGCGCUGGAGCCACCUGUGCCCUGCCCACCCUGACCCUAGACCUGAGCACUGGUUUCUCCUUCCUGCCAAGUGACCAGAGGGGCUCAGGAACCGCCAGAGCAGUGUCUGGUGCAAGAAGAUUCUCCAAAGGCUAGGCCGGGCCACCCUACAUCACCUGGCCGAAAGCCCUGAUUCUCCCCUGGAGAGACCCCGUAGGGGUAAGGUCUUGCCUUGCACAGUGCAGAACCAGGUUUAAUGCCCGGCAGCCCUAUGGUCUACACACCACCAGGAGUGAUCCCUGAGCAGCGCUGGCAUGGCCGCUAAACAGAAGGACACUGGGGACAGUGAACAAGGGCUGGGGAGCUUGUCUUGCACCCCACUGGCCCUGGCUUGAGUUCCUGGCACUGCAUAUGGUCCUGAGCACGGAGCCAGGAGGACCCUCUGAGCACUACUGAAGCGUCCCUCCCCCAAAUAAAAGUCUUCAAUCUCA